AUGGACUUAGAAGAUUUCACAACUGCUUCCAAACUUCCACAGUGGGGCAAUGUUAAUGAACCCCACAAAUCUGAAUAUAAAGACUUUAUCGCUAGUAUCACUAUGGGAGAAUCUAGGGAUAUAGCACAAGCUACCAUAGGGAGCAUUCAUUUUCCUGCUAUACAUUAUUUUGCUCUCUUCAUUGGUAGAUGCAUUAACGGUAAAGAUGAAGUUUGUCACAUGUGUGUCCCUGAUCUUUGUGUCCUCAAGAGUGCUAUAUUAGGUAAUAAAGAUUACAACUUGGGGGAGUACGUAUUUCUCACCGACUUUACAUUCAUGUUCAAACACUAUUCUAGUUGUCGGUGCUCAUACUCUUUCAUUGUAUUAUCAAUGCUAGUUUAA
rnacentral:rRNA from 1 species